UGGCUCAGACGGUAAAGCGUCUGCCUGCAAUGUGGGAGACCCAGGUUCGAUUCCUGG
rfam:TPA: Bos taurus chromosome 1, whole genome shotgun sequence.